AUAGCGUAUAUUAAAGUUGUUGCAGUUAAAAAGCUCGUAGUUGAACCUUGGGCCUGGCCGGCCGGUCUGCCUCACCGCAUGCACUGGUUUGGUUGGGCCUUUCCUUCUGGGGAGCCGCAUGUCCUUUACUGGAUGUGUUGGGGAACCAGGACUUUUACUUUGAAAAAAUUAGAGUGUUUAAAGCAGGCAUUGGCUCGAAUACAUUAGCAUGGAAUAAUAGAAUAGGACGCGUGGUUCUAUUUUGUUGGUUUCUAGGACCACCGUAAUGAUUAAUAGGGAUAGUUGGGGGCAUUAGUAUUCCGUUGCUAGAGGUGAAAUUCUUGGAUCGAUUGAAGACUAACUACUG
rnacentral:rRNA from 1 species